GAAAUGAUAAAUAUAAAACUCAUAAUGAGAAAUGUUACUGCCAGAUAUAUGUUCAAAACAAGGAACAAAAACAUUUAUGAUAUAUGUUAGCGGGCCUCAAUCCUCCCACUUAACAUGGGAAAGUUGUGCAACAGAUCAAAACAAGAACAAACUGUACUAAAUAAUAAAUGAUAAAUAGCAACAGGCAUCGACCAAUCAAUUACAGGCUCCUGACUUGGGACAGGCACUUACAAAAUGUGGUGAAACAUGUUUGCUGGCCCUACCCGUAACCUUGGACUUCUGUAUGACAGCAGCACAAAAUAACAAAUAAAAUAAAUCAGUUGAAAAGAGCUUAUCUCAUCAGAUUGAUACAAAGCAGACAAACAUCUAAUAAAAACACAGACCGAACACGGCAGGAUAUUUAAACAUUCAUAACAAACAAGAACAAAAAAGAUGUAGUACAGAUCUUAGAGUACUCACAGUAACUGAAAGCUAGCUCAAAGUCAAUUACAACUAAAAAAACAAAAUUUAUUUCUAAGAAUAAAAUAUCAAUCAGUACACUUCCAACAAUGUUCUCUGUAUAAUAUCAAU
rnacentral:lncRNA from 1 species